rnacentral:rRNA from 1 species
GGAAACUGGAUAACUNGAGUGCAGAAGAGGGUAGUGGAACUCCAUGUGUAGCGGUGGAAUGCGUAGAUAUAUGGAAGAACACCAGUGGCGAAGGCGGCUACCUGGUCUGCAACUGACGCUGAGACUNGAAAGCAUGGGUAGCGAACAGGAUUAGAUACCCUGGUAGUCCAUGCCGUAAACGAUGAGUGCUAGGUGUUGGAGGGUUUCCGCCCUUCAGUGCCGGAGCUAACGCAUUAAGCACUCCGCCUGGGGAGUACGACCGCAAGGUUGAAACUCAAAGGAAUUGACGGGGGCCCGCACAAGCGGUGGAGCAUGUGGUUUAAUUCGAAGCUACGCGAAGAACCUUACCAGGUCUUGACAUCUUGCGCCAACCCUAGAGAUAGGGCGUUUCCUUCGGGAACGCAAUGACAGGUGGUGCAUGGUCGUCGUCAGCUCGUGUCGUGAGAUGUUGGGUUAAGUCCCGCAACGAGCGCAACCCUUGUUACUAGUUGCCAGCAUUAAGUUGGGCACUCUAGUGAGACUGCCGGUGACAAACCGGAGGAAGGUGGGGACGACGUCAGAUCAUCAUGCCCCUUACGACCUGGGCUACACACGUGCUACAAUGGACGGUACAACGAGUCGCGAACUCGCGAGGGCAAGCAAAUCUCUUAAAACCGUUCUCAGUUCGGACUGCAGGCUGCAACUCGCCUGCACGAAGUCGGAAUCGCUAGUAAUCGCGGAUCAGCAUGCCGCGGUGAAUACGUUCCCGGGCCUUGUACACACCGCCCGUCACACCAUGAGAGUUUGUAACACCCAAAGU